UACGUAGGUGGCGAGCGUUAUCCGGAAUUAUUGGGCGUAAAGAGCGCGCAGGUGGUUGAUUAAGUCUGAUGUGAAAGCCCACGGCUUAACCGUGGAGGGUCAUUGGAAACUGGUCGACUUGAGUGCAGAAGAGGGAAGUGGAAUUCCAUGUGUAGCGGUGAAAUGCGUAGAGAUAUGGAGGAACACCAGUGGCGAAGGCGGCUUCCUGGUCUGUAACUGACACUGAGGCGCGAAAGCGUGGGGAGCAAACAAG
rnacentral:rRNA from 1 species